CAGUCGCCGCGGUAAUACGUAGGGUGCAAGCGUUAAUCGGAAUUACUGGGCGUAAAGCGUGCGCAGGCGGUUAUAUAAGUCAGAUGUGAAAUCCCCGGGCUCAACCUGGGAACUGCAUUUGAGACUGUAUGGCUAGAGUGUGUCAGAGGGGGGUAGAAUUCCACGUGUAGCAGUGAAAUGCGUAGAUAUGUGGAGGAAUACCGAUGGCGGAGGCAGCCCCCUGGGAUAACACUGACGCUCAUGCACGAAAGCGUGGGGAGCAAACAGGAUUAGAUACCCCUGUAGUCCCUGUCUCUUAUAC
rnacentral:rRNA from 1 species